rnacentral:rRNA from 1 species
UACGUAGGGGCCGAGCGUUGUCCGGAGUUAUUGGGCGUAAAGCGCGCGCAGGCGGCUUGACGCGCCCGACGUGAAAGCCCCCGGCUUAACCGGGGAGGGUCGUCGGGUACGGUCAGGCUUGAGGGCGGGAGAGGGUGGUGGAAUUCCCGGUGUAGUGGUGAAAUGCGUAGAGAUCGGGAGGAACACCUGUGGCGAAGGCGGCCACCUGGGCCGACCCUGACGCUGAGGCGCGAAGGCGUGGGGAGCGAACAGG